GAUGAAGAACGGAGCGAAAUGCGAUAAGUAAUGUGAAUUGCAGAAUUCAGUGAAUCAUCGAAUCUUUGAACGCACAUUGCGCCCGCCUGUAUUCUGGCGGGCAUGCCUGUUCGAGCGUCAUUUCAACCCUCAAGACCCCUUCGGGGGACUUGGUGUUGGGGACCGGCACAGGGGCCUGCCUGCUUGUCUUGCAGCGCCCUCGCCGCCCCCGAAAUGAAUUGGCGGCCUCGUCGCGGCCUCCCCUGCGUAGUAGCACAAACCUCGCAACGGGAACGUGACGGCGGCCACUGCCGUAAAACAACCCAAUUUUAUUAGAGUUGACCUCGAAUCAGGUAGGAAUACCCGCUGAACUUAAGCAUAUCAAUAAGCGGAGGA
rnacentral:misc_RNA from 1 species